rnacentral:ncRNA from 2 species
CAUGCACGCUAGGGGAGUUCAGACGAACUGAGAUGAGACCACAGGUCUCAAACCCUUUGAACCUGAUCCGGGUAAUGCCGGUGUAGGGAAGCGGAACAACGGGAUA